rnacentral:rRNA from 1 species
UACGUAGGGUGCGAGCGUUGUCCGGAAUUACUGGGCGUAAAGAGCUCGUAGGUGGUUUGUCGCGUUGUUCGUGAAAACUCACAGCUCAACUGUGGGCGUGCGGGCGAUACGGGCAGACUAGAGUACUGCAGGGGAGACUGGAAUUCCUGGUGUAGCGGUGGAAUGCGCAGAUAUCAGGAAGAACACCCGUGGCGAAGGCGGCUCUCUGGGACGGUACUGACGCUGAGACGCGAAAGCGUGGGGAGCGAACAGG